GCGGGAGUAGCUCAGUGGUAGAGCACUAGCUUCCCAAGCUGGGGGUCGCGGGUUCGAAACCCGUUUCCCGCUCCA
rnacentral:tRNA from 2 species